GGUCUCUGGGUUUCAUUGUGUUUUCUAGCCAUCUCCUUCGUUCUCUUGCUCGACAGAAAAUCCCUAAUUCUUCUUUUUCACCAAUGGCACUUCCACUAGGCCCUUACUCUGGAACCAGCAGUCUUGCCUUGGUUGCUAGGGCUUCUGCUUUGACAGCUGGUCUUGUUUACGGAAGCUUGAAGCUCAAGUAUCUUCAGGCUAAAAAGAAAGUGGCGGUUCCUGCUCAUCAUUGAAGGCAGACAUAGGUGGGAACACCUAUGAUGGUUUUUAAUCAAUCAAAAUAAUACUAGAGACACUUAGUAGUGGACUGUUAUUUUUUGGCUGCAUAUUACUGGACCAUGGUACUCUUGUGUACUCUUUUUUUGUAGAGUCUUUUCCAAUUUUGAUGGAGAGUUUUGUUAACCCAUCAUAUUACUGGACCAUGGUACUCUUGUGUACUCUUUUUUUGUAGAGUCUUUUCCAAUUUUGAUGGAGGGUUUUGUUAACUCAUCAAUAUACACUUAAGAUUCAGAUUGUGACCUCUUGCUAGAACAAAAGCAAGGCGUUACUUGAGGUUCGAACGCCGUCUUCAUAGUCCGAGAAAUUUUAUUAUUGUCUUCU